rnacentral:rRNA from 1 species
UACGUAGGGUGCAAGCGUUGUCCGGAAUCAUUGGGCGUAAAGCGCGUGUAGGCGGCCCGGUAAGUCCGCUGUGAAAGUCCAGGGCUCAACCCUGGGAUGCCGGUGGAUACUGUCGGGCUCGAGUCCGGAAGAGGCGAGUGGAAUUCCUGGUGUAGCGGUGAAAUGCGCAGAUAUCAGGAGGAACACCAAUGGCGAAGGCAGCUCGCUGGGACGUGACUGACGCUGAGGCGCGAAAGCGUGGGGAGCAAACAGG